GUGGGGAAUAUUCCGCAAUGGGCGCAAGCCUGACGGAGCAACGCCGCGUGAAUGAAGACGGUCUUCGGAUUGUAAAGUUCUGUCAUUAGGGACGAAGGACUCAUGUAAAUAAUAUGUGGAAUGACGGUACCUAAGGAGGAAGCUCCGGCUAACUACGUGCCAGCAGCCGCGGUAAUACGUAGGGAGCAAGCGUUGUCCGGAAUUACUGGGCGUAAAGGGCGCGUAGGCGGAUAAUUAAGUCAGAUGUGAAAUCUCCAGGCUUAACUUGGAGCGUGCAUUUGAAACUGGUUAUCUUGAGGGCAGGAGAGGAAAGUGGAAUUCCUAGUGUAGCGGUGAAAUGCGUAGAUAUUAGGAGGAACACCAGUGGCGAAGGCGACUUUCUGGACUGAACCUGACGCUGAGGCGCGAAAGCAUGGGGAGCGAACGGGAUUAGAAACCCCAGUAGUCC
rnacentral:rRNA from 1 species